rnacentral:rRNA from 1 species
UACGUAGGGUGCGAGCGUUAAUCGGAAUUACUGGGCUUAAAGCGUGUGUAGGCGGGCCCGUAAGUGUCUUGUGAAAUCCCACGGCUCAACCGUGGAACUGCUGGGCAUACUGCGGGUCUUGGGCCAACUAGGGGCAGCCGGAACAAGCGGUGGAGCGGUGAAAUGCGUAGAUAUCGCUUGGAACGCCGAAGGUGAAAACAGGCUGCUGGGGUUGCGCCGACGCUGAGACACGAAAGCCAGGGGAGCAAACGGG